GACCCUAUAGAGUUUAAUAUUUAAUUAAUAAAUUAUUUUUUAGAAUUUAAUAUUAAUUUAUUGAUUAAUUAUUUGAUUGGGGUGAUUGAAAAAUUUAAGUAACUUUUUUUAUAUAAAAACAUUAAUUUAUGAUUGUUUGAUCCAUUAUUUAUGAUUAUAAGAUUAAAUUACCUUAGGGAUAACAGCGUAAUUUUUUUUAAGAGUUCAAAUCGAAAAAAAAGAUUGCGACCUCGAUGUUGGAUUAAAAUUUAUUUUUGGUGUAGAAGCUAAAUUUAUUGGGUCUGUUCGACCUUUAAAAUUUUACAUGAUCUG
rnacentral:rRNA from 1 species